rnacentral:rRNA from 1 species
UACGGAGGGAGCUAGCGUUGUUCGGAAUUACUGGGCGUAAAGCGCACGUAGGCGGCCAUUCAAGUCAGAGGUGAAAGCCCAGGGCUCAACCCUGGAACUGCCUUUGAAACUAGAUGGCUAGAAUCCUGGAGAGGCGAGUGGAAUUCCGAGUGUAGAGGUGAAAUUCGUAGAUAUUCGGAAGAACACCAGUGGCGAAGGCGACUCGCUGGACAGGUAUUGACGCUGAGGUGCGAAAGCGUGGGGAGCAAACAGGG